CUUCUUCUUCUUCUUCUUCUUCUUCUUCUUCUUGAAAAGAGAUGUGAAGAAGAAGAAGAAGAAGAAGAAGAAGAAGAAGAAG